rnacentral:tRNA from 1 species
UCCAAGAUGCUCCAGUGGAUAAGACUCUGUGCUCCCAAUGCAGGGGCCCAGGUUCAAUCCCUGGUCAGGGAA